rnacentral:rRNA from 1 species
GCUAUUGACAAUCCUAGAGAUAGGACUUCCCCUUCGGGGGCAGAGUGACAGGUGGUGCAUGGUUGUCGUCAGCUUGUGACGUGAGAUGUUGGGUUAAGUCCCGCAACGAGCGCAACCCUUGAUCUUAGUUGCCAGCAUUCAGUUGGGCACUCUAAGGUGACUGCCGGUGACAAACCGGAGGAAGGUGGGGAUGACGUCAAAUCAUCAUGCCCCUUAUGACCUGGGCUACACACGUGCUACAAUGGACAGAACAAAGGGCAGCGAAACCGCGAGGUUAAGCCAAUCCCACAAAUCUGUUCUCAGUUCGGAUCGCAGUCUGCAACUCGACUGCGUGAAGCUGGAAUCGCUAGUAAUCGCGGAUCAGCAUGCCGCGGUGAAUACGUUCCCGGGUCUUGUACACACCGA